UACGUAGGCAGCGAGCGUUGUUCGGAGUUACUGGGCGUAAAGCGUGCGUAGGCGGCGCCCUAAGUCUGGUGUGAAAUCUCCCGGCUCAACUGGGAGGGUGCGCCGGAGACUGGGGAGCUGGAGUGUGGGAGAGGUAAGCGGAAUUCCUGGUGUAGCGGUGAAAUGCGUAGAUAUCAGGAGGAACACCUGCGGUGUAGACGGCUUACUGGACCACGACUGACGCUGAGGCACGAAAGCGUGGGGAGCAAACAGG
rnacentral:rRNA from 1 species